rnacentral:rRNA from 1 species
GACGAACGCUGGCGGCGUGCCUAAUACAUGCAAGUUGAGCGCUCAAAGUUGGUACUUGUUCCUCCUGCGUUAGCAGCGCACGGGUGAGUAACGCGUGGAGAAUCUGCCUUUAAGACGGGGACAACUUUUGGAAACGAAUGCUAAUACCGCAUAAUAUCUUUAAACACAAGUUUUAAUUUUGAAAGAUGCAUUUGCUUUACUCAAAGAUUAUCUCCCGUUGUCUUAGCUAGUUGGUUAGGUAAAGGCUUACCAAGGCGAUGAUACAUAGCCGACCUGAGAGGGUGAUCGGCCACACUGGGACUGAGACACGGCCCAGACUCCUACGGGAGGCAGCAGUAGGGAAUCUUCGGCAAUGGACGAAAGUCUGACGGAGCAACGCCGCGUGAGUGAAGAAGGUUUUCGGAUCGUAAAACUCUGUUAGUAGGGAAGAACGAAGGUGAAAGUGGAAAGGCAAGCAAGGAAGGGAAAUAAUCAAGAAGGGACGGGUAACUAAGUG